GGCCCGGUGGCGGAAGCGUCUACGCGAGAGCAGUGCAUUGCUCUUCAUCCUGGUUCAAAUCCAGGCCGGGUCUCCA
rnacentral:tRNA from 2 species